rnacentral:sRNA from 1 species
UUGGAAAUAUCAUCGUCGAUGAACUGCAGACUGAUCCUCGUA